CCUCUACCAAAAUUCUAAAUUGCUCCCCCUCCGCUCCCUUACGUCUGAUUUGAUUGAAGAACUCAGCCUCUUGCAGAACACACACAAGCAAUUUCACCUUUCAGAUGUGGUGAAAUAAAGCUAAAUUGUGAAUGUCUGAACAUGCAUCCUCCAUAAUCAUUCUCAAACACCACCAUCGUUCCACUUUUUGAAAAGGUUCUCAGUGCCAGUGAUGCUGGUCGAAUCGGUUGCCUGGUUCUCCCAAAAGCAUGUACUGAAGCAUAUUUUCCACUGAUAUCUCAACCUGAGGGGCUCCCUUUGAAAAUACGGGAUGUGAAGGGAAAAGACUGGCUGUUUCAGUUCAGAUUUUGGCCAAAUAUUAACAGUCGGAUUGACAUUCAGCUGAAUGGAACCUGAAGGAAAGCUUCUUAUGGGCUUUCGAAAGGCCUCAACUAAUACAUCUAUGCAGAUUAUAAGGUGUAUUCGUAUAACAAAAAUGGUUUGUGUGAGGUGAGCUUCAUGGACAUUCUCUGGUACUGAAUAAGAUUGAAAAGUUGAACUUGAUUAUCAAGGAGCUCAUUAACGAAAAGAAUGAAGAAAAAGAAAAGUUUAUUGCGAGGUUGGCGGCCGGAAACGGAAAAGAUAAGGUGGAUAAAGAUGAUAUGCUCGAAAGGAUGUCACAGAUCGACACUUUGUUAACAACUACGGUUUGAAAGUAGGCUAUAAACACUUGGUUUUGAAUGUUUGGAUGUUUAUUAUGCAAGGAUAAUUUCGGUUAUUUGAGUUUUUAGUUGGUAUUUUUUUAGAAUGUUUUAACCCUUAUUGAAACAAAGAUGUGUUAUAUAAUUUUGGGAUUUUGUAUUUUUAUUGGUGUGUAUUA
rnacentral:lncRNA from 1 species